CCCUUAGAUGUUCUGGGCUGCACGCGUGCUACAAUGGCGUUUCCAGCAAGUCUGCGAACCCGAGAGGGCCAGCGGAUCUUCGAAUUGGCGUCGUGAUCGGGACAGUCGAUUGCAAUUAUUUGACUCAAACGAGGAAUUCCUUGUAAUCGCGAUUCAUCAUAUCGCGCUGAAUACGUCCCUGCCCUUUGUACACACCGCCCGUCGCUCCUACCGACUGAGCGAUCCGGUAAAUGUUUUGGAUUGGUGCCGGGGCGGCUAGCUGCCGGUCGCUACGAAAUUUUGUGAACCUUAUCGCUUAGAGGAAGGAAAAGUCGUAACA
rnacentral:rRNA from 1 species